AUGGAUCUUCCGCGGAAGGGCAGCAUCAAGUCGUACGGCUCGUCGCGCUCGGCGUCCUUCGACUUUGACCAGGACAAGAACCGCGGCCGCCGGGAGGUCGUCGUCAAGAUCAACGACGACGUCUCCAUCGCCGGCGUGGGCGCCAGCUCCUUCUCCCUCAAAGCGCCCACCGGGCCGGACUACACCGCCGUCCCCGUGACCGGCUCGGGCGGGUCGAGCGCGCCGGCCUCGCCCACCGGUGUGGGGAGCCGCUUCGCCGAGUCAUUCAGCUUCAAGAACCGCCCGCCGCAGUCCCCUCCGUCGCCGGCGAGGGCCGAGGGGGAGUGCAGCGAGGACCCGCCCGGCCGCCUCAUCGACAACUUCCUGCGGAAGCAGGCCGCUGCCGGCGGUGACCUCGCGAUCGACCCCGAGCUCGAGAUGGAGGAGAUGCGGCGGCUCCUUAACGUCCCCUCCCCUUCCCGCGUCGCCUUCCAGCAGGAUCCGCGCAAGCGCUUCUGCCCGUCGGGCUCCUCUUCCUCCUCGUCCGACGGCGGCGGCGCCAACGCCCGGAAGAAGGCCGCCGCCAAAGCGGGAGCAGGAGCCGACCAAGCCGAGGUGCUACGCUGCUCGUCGUCGUCCACUGGCAACGGUCUGCUGCCGCGCUGCAAGACGCGGUCCCGGCUAAUGGACCCCCCACCGCCGUCGAGCGGGUCGACCACCGAGGGGGAGCAGCGCGACCGCAAGUCGUUCGUGAUGCAGGGCGGCGUGCCGCCCAAGUCCGGGCAGCUCCGGUCGGGCCUCCUCAACAGGUCGGGCUUCCUCGGCAAGGCCGGCGGGCACGACGUGGAAGAGGACGACGACCCGUUCGUGGACGAGGACCUCGCCGCCGACUCCAAGCCCGACACGGUGGACUGCCUCAUCAUCCUGGAGUGGGUGGGCCUGGUGAUCAUCCUGGUCCUGCUGGUGUGCAGCGUCACCAUCCCGACCCUGGCCACGAAGAAGGUCUCGGGGCUCCACCUGUGGAAGUGGGAGGUGCUCAUCUGCGUGCUCAUCUGCGGCCGCCUCAUGUCCGGCUGGAUCAUCCGCAUGGCCGUCUUCUUCGUGGAGCGCAACUUCCUGCUCCGGAAGAAGGUGCUCUACUUCGUGUACGGCGUGCGGCGCGCCGUGCGCAACGUGCUCUGGCUGGGCGUGGCGCUGGUGGCGUGGCACCUGCUGUUCGACAAGGACGCGCAGCGGGAGCAGGACACGCACGCGCUGGUGCUGCUCUACGUCACCAAGGUGCUCUGCUGCCUGCUGGUGGCCACCGCCAUCCGGCUGGUGAAGACGCUGCUGCUCAAGGUGCUCGCCUCCUCCUUCCACGUCUCCACCUUCUUCGACCGGAUCCAGGACGCGCUCUUCAACCAGUACGUCAUCGAGACGCUCUCCGGCCCGCCCUUGGUCGACGAGAGCCGCAUGCUCGCGGAGGUGCAGCGCCUGCAGAGCGCCGGGGCCAACAUGCCCAGCGAUCUCCAGGCGGCGGCCAUGCCCAGCAAGGCCGCCGCCGCCGCUCCGGCGCCGCCCAAGGGCGCGCGGCUCACGGCAGCGGCGUCCCGGAGAGGGGCCAGCAAGCAGCUGCAGAGGCAGAAGAGCGAGCGGCACCUGGAGGAGAACUCCAUCUCCAUCGACCAGCUCCACAGGCUGAGCCAGAAGAACAUCUCCGCGUGGAGCAUGAAGAGGUUGAUGAAGAUCGUCCGCUACGGCGCGCUGACGACCAUGGACGAGCAGAUCAAGCACGCCACGGGGCCGGACCAGGAGGACGAGCUGGCCACGCAGAUACACAGCGAGUACGAGGCCAAGGUCGCCGCCAAGAGGAUCUUCCAGAACGUCGCCAAGCCUGGAUCCAAGCACAUAUACCUGUCGGACCUGAUGCGCUUCAUGAGGCAGGAGGAGGCCCUGAAGGCCAUGGACCUCUUCGAGGGGGCGCAGGAGCAGAACAGGGUGAGCAAGCGGUCGCUCAAGAACUGGGUGGUGAACGCGUUCCGGGAGCGCAAGGCCCUCGCCCUCACGCUCAACGACACCAAGACGGCCGUCAACAAGCUCCACCACAUGGCCAACGUCGUGGUGGCGCUCAUCGUGUUCGCGCUCUGGCUCCUCAUCCUCGGCUUCGCCACCACCAAGACCUUCGUCUUCCUCAGCUCGCAGCUCCUCGUCGCCGCCUUCAUCUUCGGCAACACCCUCAAGACCAUCUUCGAGGCCAUCAUCUUCCUCUUCGUCAUGCACCCUUUCGACGUCGGCGAUCGAUGCGAGGUCGACGGGAUGCAGGUGGUCGUAGAGGAGAUGAACAUCAUGACCACCAUCUUCCUACGCUACGACAACCUCAAGGUCUACUACCCCAACAGCAAGCUCGCCACCCUGCCCAUCAUGAACUACUACAGGAGCCCGGACAUGGGAGACGCCGUCGACUUCUCUGUCAACGUCGCCACGCCGCCGGAGAAACUGGCCCUCAUGAAGGAGAGGCUGAUGCACUACCUUGACAACAAGAAAGAGCACUGGUACCCCGGCUCCAUGGUCGUGCUCCGCGACAUCGAUGACACCAACAGGCUCAAAAUAUCCAUCUGGUGCCGGCACACCAUCAACUUCCAAGACAUGGGGAUGAGGUUCGACAGGAGGGAGCUCAUUCUCCAAGAGAUGAUGAAGAUCUUGAGAGAUCUUGACAUCGAGUACCGGAUGCUGCCGCUCGACAUAAAUGUUCGCAAUGCGCCUCCCAUCAAUUCCACUAGGAUGCCCACGACAUGGGCGUUGAAUUUUUGA
rnacentral:rRNA from 1 species